rnacentral:rRNA from 1 species
UGGGGAAUUUUGGACAAUGGGGGAAACCCUGAUCCAGCCAUCCCGCGUGUGCGAUGAAGGCCUUCGGGCUGUAAAGCACUUUUGGCAGGAAAGAAACGUCAUGGGUUAAUACCCCGUGAAACUGACGGUACCUGCAGAAUAAGCACCGGCUAACUACGUGCCAGCAGCCGCGGUAAUACGUAGGGUGCAAGCGUUAAUCGGAAUUACUGGGCGUAAAGCGUGCGCAGGCGGUUCGGAAAGAAAGAUGUGAAAUCCCAGAGCUCAACUUAGGACCUGCAUUUUUAACUGCCGGGCUAGAGUGUGUCAGAGGGGGGUGGACUUCGGCGUGUAGCAGUGAAGUACGUAGAUAUGCGGAGGAACACCGAUGGCGAAGGCAGCCUCCUGGGAUAACACUGACGCUCAUGCACGAAAGCGUGGCGAGCAAACAGG